rnacentral:rRNA from 1 species
GUUUGAUUCUAGCUCAGAUUGAACGCUGGCGGGAUGGGCACUUUACACAUGCAAGUCGAACGGCAGCACGGACUUCGGUCUGGUUGGCGAGUGGCGAACAGGGUGAUAAUGUAAUCGGAACGUGCCUAGUAGCGGGGAUAACUACGCGAAAGCGUAGCUAAUACCACAUACGCCCAGCGGGGAAAGCGGGGGACUUCGGGCCUCGCACUAUUAGAGCGGCCGAUAUCGGAUUAGCUAGUUGGUGGGGUAACGGCUCACCAAGGCGACGAUCCGUAGCUGGUUUGAGAGGACGACCAGCCACGCCAGGACUGAGACACGGCCCAGACUCCUACGGGGAGGCAGCAGUGGGAAUUUUGGACUUGUGGAAACCCUGAUCCAGCCAUCCAGUGUGCGAUAGAAGGCCUUCGGGUUGUAAAACACUUUUGGCAGGAAAGAAACGGCACAGGAUAAUACCCCGUGCAACUGACGAACACCUGCAAGAAUAAGCACCGGCUAACUACGUGCCAGCAACCGCGGCCGUAGGGUGCAAGCGUUAAUCGGAAUUACUGGGCGUAAGCAUUGCUGAGCGGUUCAGGAAAAAGAAAGAUGCAUGAAAUCCCAGAGCUUAGCUUUGGAACUGCAUUUUUAACUACCGAGCUAGAGAGUGUGUCAGAGGGAGGUGGAAUUCACGUGUAGCAGUGAAAUGCGUAGAUAUGCGGAGGAACACCGAUGGCGAAGGCAGCCUCCUGGGAUACCCACUGACGCUCAUGCACGAGCGUGGGGGAGCAAACGGGAUUAGAUACCCUGGUAGUCCACGCCUAAACGAUGUCAACUAGCUGUUGGAGACGCUGGGCCUUGGUAGCGCAGCUAACGCGUGAGGUCGGCCGCCUGGGGAAUUGCAGUCGCAGGAACAAAACUCAAAGGAGUCGACGGGACCACAUACAAACGGUGGAUGAUGUGGAUAAUUCGAUGCAACGCGAAAACCUUACCUACCCCCUUGACAUGUCUGGGAAUCCCGAAGAGAUUUGGGAGUGCUCGCAAAGAGAACCGGAACACAGGUGCUGCAUGGCUGUCGUCGGCUCGUGUCGUGAGAUGUUGGGUUAAAGUCACAACGAGCGCAGCCAUGUCGUGGAUUGCUACGAAAGGGCAUACAAUGCAGGACUGCCGGUGACAAACCGGAGGAAGAUUGAGGAUGACGUCGAGUCCUCAUGGCCCGCUUAUGGGUAGGGCUUCACACGUCAUACAAUGGUCGGGACAGGGGUCGCCGCGAGGGGGCAAUCCCAGAAACCCGAUCGUAGUCCGGAUCAUGAUCUGCAGCUCGACUGCGUGAAGUCGGAAUCGCUAGUAAUCAUGGAUCAGCAUGUCGCGGUGAAUACGUUCGGGUGUAUACACACCGCCCGUCACCUGUGGGAGUGGGUUUACCAGAAGUAGUUGGCCCACAACUGUAAGGAGGGCGGUCCCCAUAGUAGGAUUCAUGACUGGGGUGAAGUCGUAACAAGGUAA